UUGGCGGGGUAACGGACCACCAAGGCGGUGACGGGUAGCUGGUCUGAGAGGAUGGCCAGACACAUUGGGACUGAGAGACGGCCCAGACUCCUACGGGAGGCAGCAGUGGGGAAUCUUGCGCAAUGGGAGCCAUCCUGACGCAGCGACGCCGC
rnacentral:rRNA from 1 species